GCCCCGGUGGUGAAAUUGGUAGACACAAGGGAUUUAAAAUCCCUCGGCCUUCGGCUGUACCGGUUCGACUCCGGUCCGGGGCACCA
rnacentral:tRNA from 1 species